ACUCAAAUGAAUUGACGGGGGCCCGCACAAGCGGCGGAGCAUGUGGCUUAAUUCGACGCAACGCGAAGAACCUUACCAAGGCUUGACAUACACCGGAAAGCAUUAGAGAUAGUGCCCCCCUUGUGGUCGGUGUACAGGUGGUGCAUGGCUGUCGUCAGCUCGUGUCGUGAGAUGUUGGGUUAAGUCCCGCAACGAGCGCAACCCUUGUCCCGUGUUGCCAGCAGGCCCUUGUGGUGCUGGGGACUCACGGGAGACCGCCGGGGUCAACUCGGAGGAAGGUGGGGACGACGUCAAGUCAUCAUGCCCCUUAUGUCUUGGGCUGCACACGUGCUACAAUGGCCGGUACAAUGAGCUGCGAUACCGUGAGGUGGAGCGAAUCUCAAAAAGCCGGUCUCAGUUCGGAUUGGGGUCUGCAACUCGACCCCAUGAAGUCGGAGUCGCUAGUAAUCGCAGAUCAGCAUUGCUGCGGUGAAUACGUUCCCGGGCCUUGUACACACCGCCCGU
rnacentral:rRNA from 1 species